rnacentral:rRNA from 1 species
UAGGGAAUCUUCGGCAAUGGACGGAAGUCUGACCGAGCAACGCCGCGUGAGUGAAGAAGGUUUUCGGAUCGUAAAGCUCUGUUGUAAGAGAAGAACGAGUGUGAGAGUGGAAAGUUCACACUGUGACGGUAUCUUACCAGAAAGGGACGGCUAACUACGUGCCAGCAGCCGCGGUAAUACGUAGGUCCCGAGCGUUGUCCGGAUUUAUUGGGCGUAAAGCGAGCGCAGGCGGUUAGAUAAGUCUGAAGUUAAAGGCUGUGGCUUAACCAUAGUACGCUUUGGAAACUGUUUAACUUGAGUGCAAGAGGGGAGAGUGGAAUUCCAUGUGUAGCGGUGAAAUGCGUAGAUAUAUGGAGGAACACCGGUGGCGAAAGCGGCUCUCUGGCUUGUAACUGACGCUGAGGCUCGAAAGCGUGGGGAGCAAACAGGAUUAGAUACCCUGGUAGUCCACGCCGUAAACGAUGAGUGCUAGGUGUUAGACCCUUUCCGGGGUUUAGUGCCGUAGCUAACGCAUUAAGCACUCCGCCUGGGGAGUACGACCGCAAGGUUUG